CAAAGUGAAACGCAAUUAAUGUAAUAAAGACCAGCAGCCAGCACAUGCAUGGAGCCAGUCGGAGCAGCAGGGAUGGCUCCCCACGUUGCCCAAGCUCCAGGUGUUCCCUGCCUGUGCACAACAAGCAGCAGCUCUCCUCCCGUCUCCACUCCCUGGCAUUCCUGCGGAGCCGCAGUGCCAGCGCACAUCUCGGAGCUGCCUGGGAAUCUCCCAUCUCCUUUCAGCCUCUUUCACAACACCACCACCAAGGAGGAGGGCCAAAUCCUGCCCGGCUGCUGGAGAAGCACGCUGUGGUUCUGCCAGAGCACCUUGUUCCCAUGGAUCCCAACGCACUUCAGAAGAGCAACCACAAGCUGGAACAGAGGGAGAACAGAAUCUCGCUCUCCCAACUUCAGAUGUGCAAUUAAACACCGAAUCACAUCUUCACAGUUACUGAAGCUGCUUUAAAAACUGCCAGCGACCACCAUCUGGAGAAGCCAAAAGAGAAUAAGCACAGCAUCCUCCAGGGGAAGGAAAAGAGCCCCAGCGGCCAAUCUGAGCGUGGAACAGUCCUUCCCAAAUUUGGAGAUGCUGCCUUAGUGCUGAGCAGGCACCGGAGAGGUGCGACCGUCUCCACCCAACUUCCCCAUCUCAGGUUGUGCCAAUCUGCAGCUCAUGAAAAGGAGGUGGAAAAGAAAACAAAAACUGAAAGCCAAUGACACAGAAACCAAGUUAAUCAUCAAAAGGGGGGGGGGGGGGAGGAGAAUCCUUCCUGACCUCUGCAGGCAACCAGCAGAAGCCUUGAAACGCGGGCCUAAUUAAUUAAUUAAAAACAAUAUGAGCAUGGUGCAACAAGCCUUGUAAGCACAUUGAAGGCAGAGUAUCACCCAUGCGCUGUUAUGCAACGUGUUGAUGACUGCAGCCAGCUCCUCGUGGAGCCACUUUGGAACCCGGUGCCCGGGACUCUGUCUCAGAGGCCACCCCUGAGCUCUGCUCUGUGAUGUCC
ensembl:lncRNA